rnacentral:tRNA from 1 species
GGUGGGGUGGCUCAGUGGUAGAGUGCAGGCCUGCAGGCCUGAGGCCCUGGGUUCCAUCCCCAGCUCCCCCC